UGAAGCCCACAUAUACGUCUCCCUUCUCCAAAACUCCGUUGCAGCCGCGAAGAACCAACUCAGACCAGCCUCAGUUGGAGGAAGCUGUCUGUGACUAAUCGAUUUGAACUCUUUUCAUUGGCAAACAAAAUCAUUUGGCUAAUCGAUUGGAGUUGUUUUACUGGCGACGAGAUCCGGCACCGUUACGUAAGUCGACCACAUUCAAGAAUCACAAUUAAGGCUCACAUUAACACCAUUUCUCUACUCCUCCCAUGAUUCUCAUUCAAUGAUGCCCUCAUUAAUCCAUUGUGUGAAUCCAAUGCUAUAAAUAUGUCCGACUGCAGAUGAUCUUUAUCCUCUAUUCGCAAUGUAUGGAAAGGUCGUGGAUUUCUUUAUUCCCAGAGAUUGAAGACUGGUGAUUCACAUGGUUUUGCAUUUGUUCUCUUUAAGUACACAAAGCUUACAAAGAAGUGGAAAGGCUUGAUGAAUGCAGUGGUCGAGUUUGUGUGGUGGUGAACUCGAAAGAAAAAGUUGUAGCAGAGAAGAUGCAUCAUCUCACCCUGGAGAUCAUUGUGGUUGGGAAGAAGAAGCUUUAUGAAGCGUAAGUGAACUUCAAGGAGUCGCAAGAGUUCAAGUCUGCCAAUGACGAUUCCCCUACCAUUACUCCCUCCUAUCUUGGCUGCAAAUAAGAUAUGACUACAAACGUUACAUAUAUUUAUGCAAAACAUAGAUUAAUCUUAAUAAAAAAUUUGAUCGUGAAAAUUUGGUUAUUGUGGACAGAUGAGCAUGAAUAUUGAUGGAGAUAAAGUUUCAUGAAAUGAUCAUUUCUCUUUGCAAAACUUGCUCCAUUUCUCACAUUGGCAUUGUUGGUUUUCUCAGGCCUGUGUGUUGAUCCAAUGGAGGAUUAGAAUCUGUUACGCGCAAGCUAUCUAUGGAAUUCCGAGAGAACAAAAUCAUGGAGCAUCAAGGAUCAGAUUUGAUGUGGGGAUGAAAUGAGCUUAUGAAUAAGAACUCUGUUCUUCUUCUCACCAACUCAUUAACACGAAUCUGGACAGUUGUUUCAUGUCUGAUCUUUGAGUCAUUGAUGAGAUUCAACAUGGUGGUAAUAGAUCCGUCAUCGCUCGGUUUUUUGUUAUCAGCAACAACAACAUCAACAGAGGUCUGAAACGGAGAGAUCAUGACAGAGACAACAACAACAAAAACCCAAGUCUUUGAAGAUAAACAGAGACAAGACAGGAAGUCACUUAUUGUUUCACCAUCCUCAAGAUGAUUCUGAAAAAGGAAGUUCAAGCUCACAUACGAUGAGAAUCAGUGGAAGUCUAAGAAACCAAGAACAGAGAAAGAAAUAGUUGGUUCUUCAAACAUUAGUUUCCAACAUUUAACUUCUUCGUAUGAUAGUGUCGAGCCAGAUGCAGAGGCGAUUGGACGGAUGAAAGAGAUUAAGUGAAAUGAAACAUUUUUACAAUUCAACGAAUCAAACACAUAACUAAAAUUUAAUUUUUUUUCUA